AAUGAACGCUGGCGGCAUGCCUAACACAUGCAAGUCGAACGAAGGCUUCGGCCUUAGUGGCGCACGGGUGCGUAACGCGUGGGAAUCCGCCCUUGGGUUCGGAAUAACAGUUAGAAAUGACUGCUAAUACCGGAUGAUGUCGUAAGACCAAAGAUUUAUCGCCCAAGGAUGAGCCCGCGUAGGAUUAGCUAGUUGGUGGGGUAAAGGCCUACCAAGGCGACGAUCCUUAGCUGGUCUGAGAGGAUGAUCAGCCACACUGGGACUGAGACACGGCCCAGACUCCUACGGGAGGCAGCAGUGGGGAAUAUUGGACAAUGGGCGAAAGCCUGAUCCAGCAAUGCCGCGUGAGUGAUGAAGGCCUUAGGGUUGUAAAGCUCUUUUACCCGGGAUGAUAAUGACAGUACCGGGAGAAUAAGCUCCGGCUAACUUCGUG
rnacentral:rRNA from 1 species